rnacentral:rRNA from 1 species
UACAAGCCGAAUUAAGGUGAAACCGCGAAAGGCUCAUUAAAUCAGUUAUGGUUCCUUAGAUCGUACCCACAUUUACUUGGAUAACUGUGGUAAUUCUAGAGCUAAUACAUGCAAACAGAGCUCCGGCCGGAGACGGUAGGAGUGCUUUUAUUAGAUCAAAACCAAUCGGCGUCGGUCCGUUCGCGCGGAUCGCUCGUCGCAUUCACUGGUGACUCUGAAUAACUUUAGGCUGAUCGCACGGUCUAGCACCGGCGACGCAUCUUUCAAAUGUCUGCCUUAUCAACUGUCGAUGGUAGGUUCUGCGCCUACCAUGGUCGUAACGGGUAACGGGGAAUCAGGGUUCGAUUCCGGAGAGGGAGCCUGAGAAACGGCUACCACAUCCAAGGAAGGCAGCAGGCGCGCAAAUUACCCACUCCCGGCACGGGGAGGUAGUGACGAAAAAUAACGGUACGGGACUCAUCCGAGGCCCCGUAAUCGGAAUGAGUACACUUUAAAUCCUUUAACGAGUAUCAAUUGGAGGGCAAGUCUGGUGCCAGCAGCCGCGGUAAUUCCAGCUCCAAUAGCGUAUAUUAAAGUUGUUGCGGUUAAAAAGCUCGUAGUUGAAUCUGUGUCCCGCGCUGUCGGUUCACCGCCCGCGGUGUUUAACUGGCACGUCCGCGGGACGUCCUGCCGGUGGGCCCGUAUCGUGCGUCGCGCGGAAACGUGCGGUCGUACGGCGGCCCGACUCACAAUCCCGCUUCGGUGCUCUUGACUGAGUGUCGAGGUGGGCCGGCACGUUUACUUUGAACAAAUUAGAGUGCUCAAAGCAGGCCGAAAUCACGCCUGAAUACUGUGUGCAUGGAAUAAUGGAACAGGACCUCGGUUCUAUUUUGUUGGUUUUCGGAAUUCCGAGGUAAUGAUUAAUAGGGACAGAUGGGGGCAUUCGUAUUGCGACGUUAGAGGUGAAAUUCUUGGAUCGUCGCAAGACGGACAGAAGCGAAAGCAUUUGCCAAAAAUGUUUUCAUUAAUCAAGAACGAAAGUCAGAGGUUCGAAGGCGAUCAGAUACCGCCCUAGUUCUGACCAUAAACGAUGCCAGCUAGCGAUCCGCUG